GGGGGUGACGGUACUUGCAGAAGAAGCGCCGGCUAACUACGUGCCAGCAGCCGCGGUAAUACGUAGGGCGCAAGCGUUAUCCGGAAUUAUUGGGCGUAAAGAGCUCGUAGGCGGUUUGUCGCGUCUGCUGUGAAAGACCGGGGCUCAACUCCGGUUCUGCAGUGGGUACGGGCAGACUAGAGUGCAGUAGGGGAGACUGGAAUUCCUGGUGUAGCGGUGAAAUGCGCAGAUAUCAGGAGGAACACCGAUGGCGAAGGCAGGUCUCUGGGCUGUAACUGACGCUGAGGAGCGAAAGCAUGGGGAGCGAACAGGAUUAGAUACCCUGGUAGUCCAUGCCGUAAACGUUGGGCACUAGGUG
rnacentral:rRNA from 1 species